CCUACGGGAGGCAGCAGUGGGGGAUAUUGCACAAUGGGGGGAACCCUGAUGCAGCGACGCCGCGAGGGUGAAGAAGCGCCUCGGCGCGUAAAGCCCUGUCAGCAGGGAAGAAAAUGACGGUACCUGACGAAGAAGCCCCGGCGAACUACGUGCCAGCAGCCGCGGUAAUACGGAGGGGGCAAGCUUUAUCCGGAUUUACUGGGUGGAAAGGGCGCGCAGACGGGGUUGCAAGUCAGGGGUGAAAGCCCGGGGCCCAACCCCGGAACUGCUCUUGGAACUGGUUGUCUGGAGUUCAGGAGGGGCAGGCGGAAUUCUUGGUGUAGCGGUGAAAUGCGUAGAGAUCAGGAGGAACACCGGUGGCGAAGGCGGCCUGCUGGACUGCAACUGACGUUGAGGCCCGAAAGCGUGGGGAGCAAACAGGAUUAGAUACCCCAGUAGUC
rnacentral:rRNA from 1 species